AGAAAUUUAGGUUAUUUAUAAACCGAAGGCUUUCAAAGCCUUAAAUAUGCUAGACAUAAUUUCUG
rnacentral:tRNA from 1 species